GAAUCCUAGGAAGACAUGACAGAGUUGAGAUGUGACAGUACAGGGCUGAAGCAAGAGCCUGAGGAACCACCGCAGGCACAACACGCCAGAACAACAGCCCCUUCCGUCUUCCCUCUGGCUUCCAGCUGUGUAGACACAUCUGGCUCAAUGACGACCCUGGGCUGUCUGGUCAAGGGCUACUUCCCUGAGCCAGUGACUGUGAAAUGGAACUCAGGGGCCCUGACCAGUGGAGUGCACACCUACCCGGCCGUCCUUCAAUCAGGCCUGUACUCACUCACCAGCAUGGUAACUGUGCCCUCCAGCCAGAAGAAGGCCACCUGCAAUGUAGACCACCCGGCCAGUGGCACCAAAGUGGACAAGAUUGUUGAGUCCUGGGGUCACACUUGCCCACCCUGUAUCCCAUGCGGAGCUCCUGAGCUCCUAGGAGGACCAUCUGUCUUCAUCUUUCCCCCAAAGCCCAAGGACACGCUUAUGAUCUCUCUGACCCCCAAGGCCACAUGUGUUGUGGUAGAUGUGAGCCAGGAAGACCUCGAGGUUGAGUUCACCUGGUACAUGAAUGGCAAGCUGAUGAACACAGCUGAGGCAAAUGUCCUGCAGGAGCAGUUCAAUGGCACAUUCCGAGUGGUCAGUGCCCUCCCCAUCCUGCACCAGGACUGGCUGUCGGGCAAUGAGUUUACAUGCAAGGUCAACAGCAAAACCCUGCCUACUGCCAUCACGAGGACAAUCUCCAAAGCCAAAGGGCCACCCAGGAUCCCACAGGUGUACCUCCUGCCCCCACCCCGAGACGAGCUGUCCAAGAAAAAAGUCAGUCUGACCUGCAUGAUCACUGGCUUCUACCCUGCUGACAUCAAUGUGGAGUGGGACAGCAGUGAACCUUCAGACUACAAGAACACCCCACCUGUUUUUGACAGUGAUGAAACCUUCUUCCUCUACAGCAGGCUCAAAGUGGAUACGAAUGCCUGGAACAAUGGAGAAAGCUUCACCUGCUCCGUAAUGCAUGAAGCCCUGCCCAAUCAUGUCAUACAGAAGAGCAUCUCCCGGUCUCCGGGUAAAUGAGUGCUGUGCCCAGCAAGCUCUCACUUAUCCCACAAUCUCUUGAGUUCCACAGGACCCUGUGCCCGAAUACCCAUGUAAAUAAAGCACCCAGCACUUCCUGGGAUCCUGACA